UAGCAGCUUUGAAAAUCUCAGUCGGGACAGCGACGCAAGAUGGCAGCCACCACGGGCUCGGACAAUUUAUGAAAACCGAAUAUACAGCCUUAAAAUAGAAUGUGGACCUAAAUACCCAGAAGCACCCCCCUUUGUAAGAUUUGUAACAAAAAUUAAUAUGAAUGGAGUUAAUAGUUCUAAUGGAGUGGUGGACCCAAGAGCCAUAUCAGUGCUAGCAAAGUGGCAGAAUUCAUAUAGCAUCAAAGUUGUUCUGCAAGAGCUGCGGCGCUUAAUGAUGUCUAAAGAGAAUAUGAAACUCCCCCAACCUCCAGAAGGACAGUGUUACAGCAAUUAAUCAAAAGCAACGCCACCAGCCCUCCCCCCAGUCUUCAUUCUCCACCCUAGUAAAUUUUCUAGAUGCGUCUUGUAGACCUCAAAAUACUGGAAAGGAAGCUCCCAUUUGAAGGCAAUUUAUCUUAAGAUACUGUAAAUGAUACUAAUUUCUUGUCCAUUUGAAAUAUAUAAGUCGUGCUAUAACAAAUCAAAAAAAAAAAAAAAAAAAGAAAAUCUCAGUCGGAGCUGGGCAUGAGGGAGCAUGCCUGUAAUGCUGGCUGCUUUGGAGGCAGGAGGAUCACAACUCAAGGACAGCCUGGACAUUUAAUGAGACCCUCUCUCAAAAGAAAAACAAAAAGGCUUAGGGAUGAG
rnacentral:lncRNA from 1 species